GAUGAACGCUAGCGGCAGGCCUAAUACAUGCAAGUCGGACGGGAUUCACCAGCUUGCUGGUGAUGAGAGUGGCGCACGGGUGCGUAACGCGUGAGCAACCUGCCCAUAUCAGGGGGAUAGCCCGGAGAAAUCCGGAUUAAGACCGCAUAAUACAGAUUGACUGCAUGGUUAAACUGUUAAAUAUUUAUAGGAUAUGGAUGGGCUCGCGUGACAUUAGCUAGUUGGUAGGGUAACGGCCUACCAAGGCGACGAUGUCUAGGGGCUCUGAGAGGGGCACCCACGACACUGGUACUGGGCAACGGACCAGACUCCUACGCGAGGCAGCAGUGGGGAAUUUUGGACAAUGGGAGAAAGCCUGAUGCAGCCAUGCCGCGUGCAGGAUGAAGGCCUUCGGGUUGUAAACUGCUUUUGUACGGAACGAAAAGGUUUGGCCUAAUAAGCUGGGCUCAUGACGGUACCGAAAGAAUAAGCGCCGGCUAACUACGUGCCAGCAGCCGCGGUAA
rnacentral:rRNA from 1 species